rnacentral:lncRNA from 1 species
UAGAAAAGGGACAAUUGGAUAUGGGGGUGAUGAUUUCACAAAGCUCGAGGGAGGAAGAGCUCUGGGUUGCAAACACCUAAACCAGAGCUCAACCACAAACCAUGACGAGAGCACAACCAGACCCCAACGCUGCAUGGCUGCUGCCCUACCACCUUGCCUUGGAGCCACCCCCAGCCACACCGCGUCUUUGGAGGUACAGUUGGUGUUCCACGCUAUGCCUGCACUCCCCUGAAUGGCUUCUUGGCCAUGUGUCCCAGGCAGGUGCUGCUGUGUGCCCUGAAGAAGGGGGACAUCUGCUUUGGGGCAUCCCCAGGCAAAAAGGACGUGUGACUAUCUGCUGUCCUAUCAGAGAGGUAGGUGGGAAGGGAGGAAGCCUUAUGGGG